rnacentral:lncRNA from 1 species
AUGUAACAUAAUUAGGUCUUUCCACCUUUCCGUGGAAAGACCUAUUGAAUUUGUUCUGAUUAUUAUUAGGUCUUUCCACCUUUCCGUGGAAAGACCUAUUGAAUUUGUUCUGAUUAUUAUUAGGUCUUUCCACCUUUCCGUGGAAAGACCUAUUGAAUUUGUUCUGAUUAUUAUUAGGUCUUUCCACUUUUCCGUGGAAAGACCUAUAGGUUUUGUUCUGAUUAUUAUUAUUAUUAUUAUUAUUAUUAUUUUUUUUUUUUUUUUCUUCCGCCUAAUUUUUUUCUUGCGUAGUAUUGUUGUUUAAUAAGUUGUCGCUUAGAUAUUUGGAAUAUGAUGUCGUAUAGUUUAUACGCUUUAAAAAUUGACAACUGCGUAACAAAAUACUUUACGUUGUAAGAGUUAUCUCCCCAAACACUGUUUUUCUUGUGGCCACUACUCCUUCGCAACCGUAAAAAAUUACGACAAAUUUAUUUUACCAAAUUGCUCGUUACUUCUUCAGGAUUAGGAUAUUCAUUUGAACCGAAGCUAUCCGGAGACUCCAUAUGAGAGUUAUUUCCCCUUAUGCAUUUGAUAUAAGUGAUAUGCAUUUCUAACUGGUAAACCAUCAGUGAUAUAGGCCUAGGGUCUUUGGAUUUAAGUUCCUUGGUCCAAAAAAAUGAAAAUAAGGUCAAGGUCAAAGGUCAAGGUCAUAUUCUAAAUUUUGAUUUUGGCUUAUUUUCUCUUAUUUUCAACAACCGUGCAAGAUAUUGACAAAUUAUUUUUACUAAAUUGUGAGUUGCGACAUGUUGUAACUUAUAAAUUUUGGUUGGAAAGGGUGCGUAAACAAUAAAUGAUGGAGUUUUUCGCCCAUCUUAUAUUUAAAAUCAUGCCUAAAGUGAUAUAACUCAUUAACCAUACAUAUUACAGACCUAGGGUCUUUUGAUUUAAGGUCCUUGGUUUGUGACCUUGAAAUUGAGGUCAAGGUCAUAGGUUAAAAGGACGUUCUAGAUUUUGACCUUUGCUUUAAAUUCAUAUAAAUACAUCAUAAAGCCAUAGAGACUAACAUUUUAAACUGAUUUUUCAUAUUUCAAUAUCAAAAUAGAUCUUUACUAGUGGAAAGACCUUCAAUUGUUCUCUGAACAAUUGGUUUUUAAUUAUUAUUAUUAUUAUUUUUUUUUUUUUCUUCCGCCUAAUUUUUUUUCUUGCGUAGUAUUGAUGUUUCAAAAGAUGUCGCUUAGAUAUUUGGAAUAUGGUAUCGUAUAGUUUAUACGCUUUAAAAAUUUACAACUGCGUAACAAAAUACUUUACGUUGUAAGAGUUAUCUCCCCAAACACUGUUUUUCUUGUGGCCACUACUCCUUCGCAACCGUAAAAGAUUACGACAAAUUUAUUUUACCAAAUUGCUCGUUACAUCUUCAGGAUUAGGAUAUUCAUUUUGACCGAAGCUAUCCGGAGACUCCAUAUGAGAGUUAUUCCCCCUUUUGUAUUUGAUAUAAGUGAUAUGCAUUUCUAACUGGUAAACCAUAAGUGAUAGAGACCUAGGGUCUUUUGAUUUAAGAUCCUUGGUCCAAAAAAA